rnacentral:lncRNA from 1 species
AACCAACUUUGUGUGGAACAACCAACUGUAACCGUAACUGUGGAAACCCAUUCCUUGUACAGGGCUACCCAGGAGCAGUGGGUUUAACUGGGAGACCUGGUCAUUUUGGAGAGAGGGUAAGAAAAUACCCCAUACAGUUCUACCACAUGUUAGUGUUAGUAUAGUUGUUGAUUUCAUUGAAUGCCACCUGUCUGUCUGUCUAACCUCAGGGGGAACUUGGUGUGAGAGGUCCCGCUGGUAUCCCUGGGAAGAGUGGACCACCAGGGUUAAAGGGAUCUCAUGGAGAGAGAGGGCCGGCUGGACCUCAGGGUCGUCAAGGAGACAAUGGACUCAAUGGCAUACAGGGGUCACCAGGUCCUCCAGGCCUACCAGGGCCAGAGGGCAAGACAGGAAAGCCAGGCCCCCCAGGAAGCCAGGGGCCUCUAGGGCCUCAGUUGCUAGCCGGACCCACCGGGUUUCCAGGCACUCCUGGGAUAGAUGGAGUAAUGGGGCAGGUUGGAGAAAAUGGAGUGCAGGUGAGUUCAAUGCCAGCCCUAGCUCUUGUCUUUUUCUAUUUUCCAAUGAUAGAUUGAAAGGAAUAAAGCAUGAAUCAUGACAGUCAGUAAUGCAUUGAGUGAUGUACUGUACUGUUGUGUCUGUUUAGGGAGCAGCAGGGCCUGUUGGGGACAGUGGGCCAUCUGGACUGGAUGGACAGCAGGUGUGUGUCUGUUCUUAGACAGUCGUAUACCAAUCCACCUCCAUUAGGACUGAUGUUGUGGUUUUUGCUAUUUCUUGUUUUCAUUGUGUAAAGUGUGGUAUAUCAUACAAUACCUUUGCAAUAGUGCUAUCAUGGCUGACAUUGAUGACCCUGUACUGUAUUCUCCUGCCUCCCAGGGUCCCCCAGGAACAGUUGGUGAGGAGGGGCCAUCUGGCAGGAAGGGGGAACCGGUCAGUGACAUCAUCACAAUAGGAUUUCCUCCCUUUUUCAGUAGUUCAGUUCAAAUGUGUUAAUUAGAUCGCUCACUACUCUAUCCCCACCUCUCUGACCCCAUCUAUGUUGCUGUGAGACAGGGAGCUCCAGGUCCCUUUGGAAAGGCAGGGCUGAAUGGACUACAGGGAGAGCCAGGGCCACAGGGCUCCCAGGGGAUGCAGGGUGAGCCUGGGCCAAGGGGCAAAGAGGUCAGUUGUAUUACCCUUUCUACCAAGCUCAUCUACAGACACAGGCUGCCAUCAUUAUCAGCUUGGGAUGUGGUUUCAUGGUUUUCUGUGAUUGUCUGUUGCAGGGAGAGAUGGGAGGUUUCGGCAACAGAGGAUAUCCUGGUCCUAAAGGACAAAAGGUAAUGGAAUUAACAGGAUAAAUAAGGCCUACUUAACGACUAGCAAUCCCGUAUCCGGGAGCGUAAUCAUAGCCUCAAGCGCAUUACCAUAACGUAACUUUUCCUAUUCAUGAAAAUCGCAAAUUAAAUGAAAUAAAUAUAUUCAAACACAAGCUUAGCCUUUUGUUAACAACACUGUCAUCUCAGAUUUUCAAAAUAUGCAUUACAGCCAACGCUAGACAAGCAUUUGUGUAAGUUUAUCAUGGCAUAAUGCUAUGCUAGGCUCUGCUGGCAGCAGGCAACAUUUUCACGAAAAUAAGAAAAGCAACCAAAUUAAAUAAUUUACCUUUGAAGAACUUCAGAUGCUUUCACUCAGGAGACUCCCAGUUAGAUAGCAAAUGUUCCUUUUUUCCAAAAAUAAUAUUUUUGUAGGCGAAAAAGCUCCCGUUUGUUCAUCCUGCUUGGCUGAGAAAUCGACCGAAAAAUACUUCAACUAUAACGCUGAACUUUUUUCCAAAUUUGCUCCAUAAUAUCGACAGAAACACGGCAAACGUUGUUUAGGAUCCAUCCUCAAGGUGUUUUUAACAUAUGUAUUCGAUAAUAUAUCCGUCGAGGCAAUUGGUUUCUCAUAAGAAGCGAUUGGAAAAAUGGCUACCUCAGUAUUUUACGCAAGAUUUUCUCCGGGAGACACCAUGUGACCACUCGCUAUAUAUGGUCCCUUACAGCCAUUCUCCAAUGGAAAUGCCUAAAAAGACAUC